AGAGUUUGAUCCUGGCUCAGGAUGAACGCUAGCGACAGGCUUAACACAUGCAAGUCGAGGGGCAGCAUAAAAGUAGCAAUACUUUGGUGGCGACCGGCGCACGGGUGAGUAACGCGUAUGCAACCUACCUAUCAGAGGGGAAUAACCCGGCGAAAGUCGGACUAAUACCGCAUAAAACAGGGGCACCGCAUGGUGAUAUUUGUUAAAGAAAUUCGCUGAUAGAUGGGCAUGCGUUCCAUUAGGUAGUUGGUGAGGUAACGGCUCACCAAGCCGACGAUGGAUAGGGGAACUGAGAGGUCGGUCCCCCACACUGGUACUGAGACACGGACCAGACUCCUACGGGAGGCAGCAGUGAGGAAUAUUGGUCAAUGGGCGAGAGCCUGAACCAGCCAAGUCGCGUGAAGGAAGAAGGAUCUAUGGUUCGUAAACUUCUUUUGCAGGGGAAUAAAGUGCAGGACGUGUCCUGUUUUGUAUGUACCCUGAGAAUAAGGAUCGGCUAACUCCGUGCCAGCAGCCGCGGUAAUA
rnacentral:rRNA from 1 species